rnacentral:snoRNA from 1 species
GGGUGAAGUGAGGAAUCUCAAUCCAUAAACCAAUCUCUGCAUCUUCAGUAUGAUGAUUGCCAAAAUUACAUGCACUACCAUCUGAUCUCCC